AGAGGAGUGCCUUCGGGAACGCUGAGACAGGUGCUGCAUGGCUGUCGUCAGCUCGUGUUGUGAAAUGUUGGGUUAAGUCCCGCAACGAGCGCAACCCUUAUCCUUUGUUGCCAGCACGUAAUGGUGGGAACUCAAAGGAGACUGCCGGUGAUAAACCGGAGGAAGGUGGGGAUGACGUCAAGUCAUCAUGGCCCUUACGAGUAGGGCUACACACGUGCUACAAUGGCAGAUACAAAGAGAAGCGACCUCGCGAGAGCAAGCGGAACUCAUAAAGUCUGUCGUAGUCCGGAUUGGAGUCUGCAACUCGACUCCAUGAAGUCGGAAUCGCUAGUAAUCGUAGAUCAGAAUGCUACGGUGAAUACGUUCCCGGGCCUUGUACACACCGCCCGUCACACCAUGGGAGUGGGUUGCAAAAGAAGUAGGUAGCUUAACCUUCGGGAGGGCGCUUACCA
rnacentral:rRNA from 1 species